AUGUGACGUUUUUGGUUUUUCAGCUUCAUAUUCACUACACCCGUAUAUACUGUGAUUCCCUAGUCAACUGAUUGUGGGUGUUAACCCAUUGCAGACCACAGUGUCAAAGCCGUGUGUCUCAGAAACCAUUUGAGGUUGGGUUGCUGACCAUGAUGCUGAACUCUGACCCAAUAUAGGUGCCAUAUUAAGGUCAAGGUCACUUUUGAAGCUGCAUCUCCAUCACGACAAAGUGCACUUUGAGUGAUUGUCAAUGUUUUGUACGUGGCUGUAUUCUUUGAUCCGUUCUGUUUCCAGUGUUGUCUCAUAAAAAUUAAACUGGCCAUAUUAAGGAUCGAGACCACUCGCAGUGUCUUUAGAAGCUGUAUUCUAUGAUUCUCAAUCCAGUUCCGUUACAGGUAGUGUCCAGUACAAACCUUCACUGCUGCAUUGUUUUUAACUCCUGGAUAUAUGUGAGACUAAUUUUUUUUUCAGAAUUUGUUUGCUUUUUGUUUUACAAACCGUUCCCUCUAAUAUGAUACACCUCCUUGAUUAGGCUACAGAGGAUGUUUUGCUUUUUGUUCACACUCCCACUUGUAGUUUAUUUUUUGGUUGAAAUGGACUAUUUUAAGAUGCCAGCAUGUGAUUUUUUGGUUGAAAUUGAAUAUUUUAGAUGCCUGCAUGUGAUUUUUUGGUUGAAAUUGAAUAUUUUAGAUGCCAGCAUGUGAUUCUAAGCCCCGUUGUGCAGUUGUUUGCGAGUUGAGUUGACCUAUAAGACCUUUCACAGAUGGGUGAAAAUUACAUCCCCAAGGAGCCUGGACAAUCAUUGGGAAGCAAUGCAGGGAUUACAUGGAAGUUUCACCCAUUCCAGGGUUUAUUAAGAGUUUGAUUAGCCACAGUCUAUGGGUAACAAGUGCUGUUGUGUCUUACCAGUCUGUGGUACCAACGUUCCUUCUCUUCCAAGCCAUCCUUCAUCCAGAGCCCCAGUUUUUCCUCAAAGGUAUGCACUUGGGGUUUUGUACAGUGGUGGCUGUAUACAGGCAGCGGAUGGGCAUUUUAAAUGUGCAUUGGGUAGCACAGUGUGUGCAAACUCCUCUACCAUCCUCGCCUGUCCCACCUAAACAGAAAGCUUUAGUUGGCUUUCAUUUUGACUUCAAAUGGUAACAUAUCAUUUUGACCUGUUUUGUAUAGCCAUUCGUAGCAAGGCAUUUUGCAUGAAAUGUUUAUUUUUGGUUGCUGGAAAAAGCAAGACCAGACUGAAAGAUGUGGUCAUGUUAAUUGCUCUCAUUGUGUUCUGUAGUACAAACACAUAUUGGAUACCCGGAUCCCUCCCCUUCUCGUGGACCAGACUGAAAGAUGUGGUCAUGUUAAUUGCUCUCAUUGUGUUCUGUAGUACAAACACAUAUUGGAUAUCCGGAUCCCUCCCCUUCUCGUGGAUGUCUGUAGAGGUUCACAUCUGCCAUCUGCCUUUUUCAAUCCACAUUCCUCUUGCUAGUUUAGAAGACAGGAAAGCACAACAGCUAGAACUUCUGAAAGAGAAAAUCGCUGAAGUGAAGCAACAGACAAACCAGGAAUCUGUUUUUCCAGUCUAUGUGACCUGCAAACUUGGAAAUGAUUCCCAGAACGCAGUGCAGAUUUUGCAGAUGACGUUGGGAACAGAACUGCAUUCUGUGCUAGUAAAAGAUAUCCAGGGAGUAUUAAUGGCUUGGGCUCUUCCCCAGUAUUUACAUUUUUAGUUUAAUUUUAGACAUGUUUUGCUUAUAUUUACAUGUGAUCUGUUUUUCAGUGUCAUUCAUGUUUACAGUAUUAGUAGUUGAUCCCAUCUGUAGAUCAUUUUUAUUGCAAAAUGUUAAUUUCCAUUCUUACUACAUUA